UUUGGUGGUGUACCCUGCAACAGCAUCUUUGUGGUUAUGGAUGUGUUUACUCUGUUCAGAAGGCAACCCAGCUAAGAGAUAGUUUCAGAGACAUGAAGUGUGUGAAGUGAAUAACCUGUCAUGUGCAGGCACAUGUACCAGAUCUGUUUGAUGAAAGUCAAAGGCCUUACUAAAUUCAUCACCCAAAUGAUAAAGCAUUAGGAAAUUUAUCUCAACAUGUGGAAAAAGAGCAGGCAAGAUCCCCACGGAUAUCCUCGAGCUAAUGCUGAAUUUUGUCCAUGACAGAAGAGGGACUUCCAUCAUGCUCCAUCCUUAUCUUCAAGACCUACGCUCAUCCAGCUUCACUGCUUCAGUGCUUCUUAUGCUGCAAAAAGAACUGUUCUUGCUUCACUGGCGAAGCUGGAUUACUUCAGUUGCUGUUACACACCUGCAGUCACUCACCACAGGAUUAUGCCCAGGUAAUGCAGAGGAGACGUCGAGAAGAUGGAUAUUGUCAUCUUUAACAGUCGUCACCGGUCUCCGUCGGAUGUUGCCCCUGCUCCUGGUGCGAACGAAACUCGGUGGAAUCGCGACCGACACCGAGACUCGUCAUCAACGUGGAUCAUCGUAUUGUUGGUAUUACUACGUUUGUGUUAGUGUUAGUUAACCCGUUGUCUGC